rnacentral:tRNA from 1 species
AAGGCUUUAGCUUAAUUAAAGUAUCUGUUUUGCAUACAGGAGAUGUGGGGUAGUGUCCUGCAAGUCUUA